GGUCUAAUCUGCCCACUGAUAUUAAUUGAAGGGCCGCGGUAUUUUAACCGUGCAAAGGUAGCAUAAUCAUUAGUUUUUUAAUUGAAGGCUUGUAUGAAUGAUUGGACGAGAUAUUAGCUGUUUCAUAUAAAAUUUAAUAGAAUUUUAUUUUUUAGUUAAAAAGCUAAAAUAAUAGUAAAAGACGAGAAGACCCUAUAGAUCUUGAUAAUUUAUAUAUUUUAUUUAUAUAGAAAUUUUUAAGUAUUAUAUUUAUAAUUAUUUUGUUGGGGUGAUAAUAAAAUUUAAUAAACUUUUAUAUAAAUUUUACAUUAAUUAAUGAAUAAUUGAUCCAUUAUUAGUGAUUAAUAAAUUAAGUUACCUUAGGGAUAACAGCGUAAUUUUUUUAGAGAGUUCAUAUCGAUAAAAAAGAUUGCGACCUCGAUGUUGGAUUAAGAGAUAAAGUUGGGUGUAGAAGUUCAAAUAUUUAGGUCUGUUCGACCUUUAAUUUCUUACGUGAUCUGAGUUC
rnacentral:rRNA from 1 species